rnacentral:rRNA from 1 species
AGCAGCCGCGGUAAUUCCAGCUCCAAUAGCGUAUAUUAAAGUUGUUGCAGUUAAAAAGCUCGUAGUUGAGUUUCGGGACCAAUCUGCCGGUCGUGCCUCCGGUACGCACUGGUUUUAUUGGUCUCUCCCUUCUGACGAACCAUGAUGUCAUUAAUUUGGUGUCUUGGGGAAUCAGGACUGUUACUUUGAAAAAAUUAGAGUGUUUAAAGCAGGCUCACGCUUGAAUACAUUAGCAUGGAAUAAUGAAAUAGGACGUUUGGUUCUAUUUUGUUGGUUUCUAGGAUCGACGUAGUGAUUAAUAGGGAUAGUUGGGGGCAUUAGUAUUCAAUUGUCAGAGGUGAAAUUCUUGGAUUUAUUGAAGACUAACUACUGCGAAAGCAUUUGCCAAGGAUGUUUUCAUUAAUCAAGAACGAAAGUUAGGGGAUCGAAGACGAUCAGAUACCGUCGUAGUCUUAACCAUAAACUAUGCCGACUAGGGAUCGGAUGAUGUUAAUUUUUUAAUGACUCAUUCGGCGCCUUA